rnacentral:lncRNA from 1 species
GUAUAUGUUCAUAUAAGAAUUUAUCCUAUAUAAUUUUUUGGUUUUUUUUUUUCUGAAGUGUUUCUGCUUUUAUCCCCGUCUGAUGCAUGGAUCCCUUAAAUUAAUAUGUACAUGUUGGAUUCAUGUAGAUGUAGAUUGAGGUUUCUUCCUCAAUUUGUAGCAAAUCUUUAGAGUUCUUGAUGACAAGGGUUAGUAGUUUAAGAAAGAAGGAAGAGGUGAAGUGGGAUUUGCAUAUGUUGAUUUAAGAUAAUCCUUGCUUACUUGAAGCUGCUUCUACAUUGUGUUGACCAGAAAUGGCACAAAUGAUUAUUUAACGUGUGGCUUUCUUGAAUAUGAAUAUGCUAUUAGCAUAUCGGCCCAAAUGAGAAAUUUACAUCUAGGUAAGAUCAAUAUAUAAACCCAUGCUUGCCAUGAAUUGAACUAAUUUAAUGAAAACGUAUGACAGUGACUUGUAGUGACAGCUCCCAAGUAUUGGUAUGGUGGGUUUGAGAGCUGUUUCUCGUGUACUUAUCUUGAAACUUGAAAGUGUGUGUUGAUUAGUUUUAGAGAACCAUGUAUAGUAGCAGCACUAUGUACGUAUUAGUUCUCUGCAUUUUCCCAUUCUGGAAAUAUAAUCUCUUCCAUUUUGUCUUCAUGUUGGUU